rnacentral:rRNA from 1 species
GUAGGUGGCAAGCGUUGUCCGGAAUUAUUGGGCGUAAAGCGCGCGCAGGCGGUUCUUUAAGUCUGAUGUGAAAGCCCACGGCUCAACCGUGGAGGGUCAUUGGAAACUGGAGAACUUGAGUACAGAAGAGGAAAGCGGAAUUCCACGUGUAGCGGUGAAAUGCGUAGAGAUGUGGAGGAACACCAGUGGCGAAGGCGGCUUUCUGGUCUGUAACUGACGCUGAGGCGCGAAAGCGUGGGGGGGGCAAACAGGAUUAGAUACCCUGGUAGUCCACGCCGUAAACGAUGAGUGCUAAGUGUUAGGGGGGUUUCCGCCCCCCUUAGUGCUGCAGCUAACGCAUUAAGCACUCCGCCUGGGAGUACGGCCGCAAGGCUG